AGUGAACGCUGGCGGUAGGCCUAACACAUGCAAGUCGAACGGCAGCACAGUAAGAGCUUGCUCUUACGGGUGGCGAGUGGCGGACGGGUGAGGAAUACAUCGGAAUCUACUUUUUCGUGGGGGAUAACGUAGGGAAACUUACGCUAAUACCGCAUACGACCUACGGGUGAAAGCAGGGGAUCUUCGGACCUUGCGCGAUUGAAUGAGCCGAUGUCGGAUUAGCUAGUUGGCGGGGUAAAGGCCCACCAAGGCGACGAUCCGUAGCUGGUCUGAGAGGAUGAUCGGCCACACUGGAACUGGGCCCCGGUCCGGACUCCUACGGAAGGCAGCGUGGGGGAAUAUUGGACAAUGGGCGCAAGCCUGAUCCAGCCAUACCGGGUGGGUGAAGAAGGCCUUCGGGUUGUAAAGCCCUUUUGUUGGGAAAAAAAGGCAGCAGGUUAAUACCCCGCUGUUCUGACGUUACCCAAAGAAUAGACACCGGCUAACUUCGU
rnacentral:rRNA from 1 species